UACGGAGGGUGCGAGCGUUGUCCGGAAUCACUGGGCGUAAAGGGCGCGUAGGCGGCGCGGAUAGUCGGCGGUGAAAGCCCGGAGCUCAACUCCGGGUCGGCCGUCGAUACUUCCGGGCUUGAGCACUGUAGAGGCAGAUGGAAUUCCGGGUGUAGCGGUGGAAUGCGUAGAGAUCCGGAAGAACACCGGUGGCGAAGGCGGUCUGCUGGGCAGUUGCUGACGCUGAUGCGCGACAGCGUGGGGAGCAAACAGGAUUAGAA
rnacentral:rRNA from 1 species